rnacentral:rRNA from 1 species
GAGUUUGAUCGUGGCUCAGAUUGAACGCUGGCGGCAGGCCUAACACAUGCAAGUCGAGCGGAUGAAGGGAGCUUGCUCCUGGAUUCAGCGGCGGACGGGUGAGUAAUGCCUAGGAAUCUGCCUGGUAGUGGGGAUAACGUCCGGAAACGGGCGCUAAUACCGCAUACGUCCUGAGGGAGAAAGUGGGGGAUCUUCGGACCUCACGCUAUCAGAUGAGCCUAGGUCGGAUUAGCUAGUUGGUGGGGUAAAGGCCUACCAAGGCGACGAUCCGUAACUGGUCUGAGAGGAUGAUCAGUCACACUGGAACUGAGACACGGUCCAGACUCCUACGGGAGGCAGCAGUGGGGAAUAUUGGACAAUGGGCGAAAGCCUGAUCCAGCCAUGCCGCGUGUGUGAGAAGGUCUUCGGAUUGUAAAGCACUUUAAGUUGGGAGGAAGGGCGAGUAAGUUAAUACCUUGCUGUUUUGACGUUACCAACAGAAUAAGCACCGGCUAACUUCGUGCCAGCAG